GCCUGUGUGGCACAGUGGUUGAGCACCUACCUAUGAACCAGGAGGUCACAGUUCGAUUCUGUGAUCAAGGCA
rfam:Myotis lucifugus cont2.16768, whole genome shotgun sequence.